AAAUUACCUGCCUUUAGAGAACCAUUCAAAUUGAGCUCGCUGUAAUAUUUUUGUGAGAUCACGAUAAGAACAUGAAGCAACAAAAAGGAUCUUUCAAUAGCUUUCUCAAAUGCAACGAACUGAUAGCCGGAGUAUUUUCCUCUCCAUUCACACAGCCACAGAUGUUUUCAGACAGCCUUACCAAAAGGAGAGCAGAGCAUUCAUGGGAAGCAGUCAUGGUAACAGUUCUGGACUUUGGAGAUCCACAUCAGAAUCAUACCGAAGAAAUAUAAAGAAAAAUAGC